GAUAUUUUUAAGUCUUAAGUCUGGUUUUCCUGUCUUUACUAACUAAACUGAACUUCUUUGAUUCCAGAACUGAUGAGUUAAUAAAAAAGCAAUCCAUGAGAAAUUUGCCCAGUGCACUGUGGUAACCAUCACACACAGACUGAGCACCAUUACUGACAGUGACAUGAUAAUGGUUUUGGAUUCAGGGACAAGGAAAGAAUACAGUCCACCACAUGAUUUGCUGCAAAACAGUAAGAGCCUAUUUUACAAGAUGGUGCAACAACUGGGUGAGGCUGAGGCCACUGCCCUCACUGAAAGAGCCAAACAGGUGAGGCUGCUGCAGGGAGUUGUAAUUGAAGUUUGUCUCCAGGGUUCACACUCUUCACCUGAUCUCCAACAGGCAUCUGGUAACAAGCACUCUGUGCCCUUUUCAAUCA
rnacentral:lncRNA from 1 species